rnacentral:rRNA from 1 species
GCGAAGCAUCUGCCAAGGAUGUUUUCAUUAAUCAAGAACGAAAGUUAGGGGAUCGAAGACGAUCAGAUACCGUCGUAGUCUUAACCAUAAACGAUGCCGACCAGCGAUUAGGAGACGUUGAAUACAAAACACCACCAUCGGCGCGGUCGCCCUUGGCGUUCGUGUUCACGCACGGGCGCGAGGGCGGCUUAGCCCGAUGGCACCGGUGAAUGACUCCCCU